UAGGGUAGGCACUUAAAGUUAACCAUCGAGAGACGUUAACCACCGAGAGUCGGUUUUUAGACCCGCCCAGUGCACCUAAGCACGCCUACUUUUGGAGCUCUUUAGUAUGAAGAUAAGAAAAAUAUACGAAAUUACGGAACUGUAUACCCUGUUUUAUCCUUGUUGUUGGUGUUUCUUGCGCAUGCGCACAAAGCACGGUGAUAGUUACGGUUACUGACUCAGGAACCUUGUAUAUUAUAUACGUUUAAUAAACUGGAUCCUUGUUGUGUUCAGUUAUCGAUACACUACGAUGGAAUUACGGACCAGUUUAACAUAAACAUGGUAAAUAGAUAGACAGCUGAUAAUCAUAAUUGAUUAAGAAAUAACCUGGAAGAAGAAAUGAGUUAACUAUUGAUUACAACAGAGACGAGAAUGCCAUCGUGUUUGUUCUGCUAAAAAAAGCAGGAACAUUGGAGUUUAUGGUUAGAUUUUAAAUAUUUAUUGUCUCCAAACUGGGUAAAUUUGAUAUAGUAACACCCCCCCCUUUUUUUUUUAAAUAACUCGAGAACCACACAUCUCGCUCGCUUAACAAAGUAACAAUAAGAAAUAAUUAUUGUUAGUUUCAAGAAUAAUUAAUCGUCAAAACUUAUCCCCUCCCCGACAUCAAAGGAAGUUAAAUGUAUUAUCCCAAAAUUAGACCAAAUUUUUAUGAUAUAAGGACGUCUUGACAGGCUAUUAUUUUAUUUUGUUUUGUUGGGUUUUUUUUUUGCUUUGACGUCUUCCUCCUGUAUGAAAAAAAACAUAAUAGACCCCCCCCCCCUUUUUUUCCCCAUAAUAUAGCUUUUUAAGAAGUCAUAACUAUUUGGACUACCCCUGAAUAUAUUUCAGACAGACUCUUCUCUAAAAAAAUGUAAACAUGAUUUGAGAGAAAUCUUUGGAAUAGUUUUUUAAAUGAUUUAAUUAUUAUGUCAUGUAUAUAAUUGACAUUAACAUAGUUAUAAACUGAGACUACUAGUAUAACACAUAGUGUUAUAGUAGUCUCAGCUAUAAACUUUCCAUUGUAUUGACCAAUAUGACUAACUCAUAUGCUCUUUCCCAUAAAUGUCACAAUAUCAAUAUAUUACAGUAAAACUGAUAGUUUGAUGACAUUGUUUAAGACUAUUGACCUCAGGUCAGCCUAAACUGAGUUUAAAACUGUAAUUUAUUCAUUAAAACAGUUCAAGACAUGUACCUUCUGAAAUGUGAUUGCAUCAAAAUUAAACCUAAGGCAUAACAUACUUAGUGUGCAGGAAGUGCCACCAAAUAAAUACUGAUUUGUAAAAUUAGAUGAUGAUAUUUGUGAAGUCAAAGAUAUUAUAGCUAGUUAUAACUGUUUAGAUAUAACUGAGUUUUUUAUAUGUGCUUUUUUUUAGUUUUUUUAGAAUGACUGUACACAAACAUUAUACACACAUAAUUUUGAUAAUUCUGUAAUGUUUUUUUUCUAUAGCCCCAGAAUGUGACAAAAGACUUAUUAAUCCAGAUUUACAAAAAAUAGAAAUAGUUCAGCUACCAUAAGACUGCUAUGACAAAAAUUUUGCAGUUUCCAGAAUUUGAGGUAGAGUAUAGUUAGGAAUAGUUUGAUUAUGCAGAUGCUUAGUUUGCCAUAAACAAUUAUGCCCUUGAUACAAAAGCAGAGGAAAC
rnacentral:lncRNA from 1 species